CCAAGAAUAUUCCGCAAUGGACGGAAGUCUGACGGAGCGACGCCGCGUGGAUGACGAAGGCCGAAAGGUUGUAAAGUUCUUUUGCUGGGGAAGAAUAACCGCAGGAGGGAAUGCCUGUGGGAUGACAAGAACCGGCGAAUAAGCCCCGGCCAACUACGUGCCAGCAGCCGCGGUAACACGUAGGGGGCGAGCGUUGUUCGGAAUUACUGGGCGUAAAGGGCAUGUAGGCGGCUUGGAAAGCCUGGCGUGAAAGUCUGCAGCUUAACUGCAGGGGUGCGCUGGGAACUGCUGAGCUUGAGUGACGGAGAGGGAGCUGGAAUUCCUGGUGUAGGGGUGAAAUCUGUAGAUAUCAGGAAGAACACCGAUGGCGAAGGCAAGCUCCUGGCCGAUGACUGACGCUGAGGUGCGAAAGUGUGGGGAUCAAACAGGAUUAGAUACCCUGGUAGUCCACACAGUCAACGAUGUGCACUAGGUGCUGGGGCGGUAGCUUCGGUGCCGGAGCGAACGUGGUAAGUGCACCGCCUGGGGAGUAUGCUCGCAAGGGUG
rnacentral:rRNA from 1 species